CCUACGGGAGGCAGCAGUGGGGAAUAUUGCACAAUGGGCGAAAGCCUGAUGCAGCAACGCCGCGUGAAGGAAGACGGUUUUCGGAUUGUAAACUUCUGUUCUUAGUGAAGAAUAAUGACGGUAACUAAGGAGCAAGCCCCGGCUAACUACGUGCCAGCAGCCGCGGUAAUACGUAGGGGGCAAGCGUUAUCCGGAUUUACUGGGUGUAAAGGGAGCGUAGACGGCAGCGCAAGUCUGGAGUGAAAUGCCGGGGCCCAACCCCGGAACUGCUUUGGAAACUGUGCAGCACGAGGGCAGGAGAGGUA
rnacentral:rRNA from 1 species